rnacentral:rRNA from 1 species
AACCAACGCUGGCGGCGUGCCUAACACAUGCAAGUCGAACGAGAAAGGGUAGCAAUACCUGAGUAAAGUGGCGACCGGGUGAGUAACACGUGACUAACCUGCCCUUGAAUGGGGAAUAACCUCGGGAAACCGGGGCUAAUACCGCAUAACGUCCAGAGGCUGAGAUGCCAUUGGACCAAAGGAGCAAUUCGUUUAAGGAGGGGGCCGCGGUUGAUUAGCUAGUUGGUGGGGUAAUGGCCCACCAAGGCGAUGAUCAAUAGCCGGCCCGAGAGUGCGCACGGCCACACUGGAACUGAAACACGGUCCAGACUCCUACGGGAGGCAGCAGUGGGGAAUUUUGCGCAAUGGGGGAAACCCUGACGCAGCAACGCCGCGUGAAGGAUGAAGGUCUUUGGAUUGUAAACUUCUUUCGUCCGGGAAGAUAAUGACGGUACCGGAAUAAGAAGCCCCGGCUAACUUCGUGCCAGCCGCCGCCGUAA